CUUGUAUCCUUUAACUUAUCCUACAUGAAUGCUUAGGCCUUCGGGUCACGCUCACUGGAUUCUGAUAAAUUACUGUGUUUUUGUUGUCUGCUUGUUGGUAGUGAAAUGCUCCAACGCUCCUUUCCUCCUGGCUUAGAUGAAGCAUUGCCGUACCAGAUCAUUCCGACCACAGCUAUGAACAUGCCCAGAACUACCUGUAAAUUGAGGCCCUCUCUCCCAAAGAAGAAGAACCCCAUUAUCAACACAAGGAUUGUCUUCAUAUGACCAAGUACUUGAAAUGACACAGCUGUGAAUUUGCCAAUGCAGAUGAACUGGCUGAGGUUGGUCCCAACCGCAAUGGUGCAUGANUAGAAUAAUGAACAUCGCAGAGGCUAUAUUAUAGUCAUAGGUGUAAACUCUUCUGUUUGUCAACCAGUAAUCCAAAAAGGGGCCUACUAACAGCAAUGUUGCAGCCUGUGCUGGAGCAGUAUGACCAAGUAGGUUAAAAGAACUAAGCGAAUACUUCUUUUGAAGGUAAUGCACAUAAUACUGUUGCAGAGAAGUGCUCCAGACAGCAAUGAAAGCAGCGAUGAAGCCCUUGGUAUUCACACUUACAUCGGUGAUAGUGCAAACACCAACACCCAAGAGAACAACUGCUAUACUCAAC
rnacentral:misc_RNA from 1 species